GGGCACAUGGUGUAGUUGGUUAUCACAUCCGCUUAGCACUCUGAUACACUGUGUUUAUGCGGGGGGUGCUGGGUUCAAUUCCCAGUGUGUCCA